GGCUCGGUGGUGGAUGGUCCAUACCUGUUUCUUGUAGUAAAUUGGCAUAUGCCAGUAGGAGGAGCCUGUUCGAAUCAGGCCCGAGCCA